rnacentral:misc_RNA from 1 species
GAUGAAGAACGCAGCAAAAUGCGAUAAGUAAUGUGAAUUGCAGAAUUCAGUGAAUCAUCGAAUCUUUGAACGCACAUUGCGCCCGCUGGUAUUCCGGCGGGCAUGCCUGUUCGAGCGUCAUUUCAACCCUCAAGCCCCCGGGUUUGGUGUUGGGGAUCGGCUCUGCCCUUCUGGGCGGUGCCGCCCCCGAAAUACAUUGGCGGUCUCGCUGCAGCCUCCAUUGCGUAGUAGCUAACACCUCGCAACUGGAACGCGGCGCGGCCAUGCCGUAAAAACCCAACUUCUGAAUGUUGACCUCGGAUCAGGUAGGAAUACCCGCUGAACUUAAGCAUAUCAAUAAGCGGAGGA